GCAACCGACUCUGUACGGCUCGCGCGCGCUCGCGCCUCGCCGUUGUGUCUCCGGCCCUCGUGCUUCCGCAGCCAAUCAGCGAGCACGUCUCCUCGCGCGCUCGCGGUCCCCCUCUAACGGUCCGCUCGCCGUCGGCAGCCCGGAGCGCUCGCGUCUCCUCACGCUCGCCGCUCAGCGCGCGGGCGCAGGGGUCGUUGCUGUGGGAUUGGAAGCUGGUCUGACUGGAUUUGGUACCUGUUUGUUGUUCUUCUAUUCGGUAGUUGAGACCAGGGAGCAAAGGAGCCGUGUUUUGUGCCCCAUGUCGAUUAUUCGGCGGGAUCUCUAGUCUGGCGACGAGUGGAUACCAUGACUGGAAAAAAUAUAUCAGCUUGACUACGUGAACAUGAAAAUUAGACUGAACAUAAAACAUGUGUACUGACAAUGGUGAAGAGAGGCGAGAUAUCUGGAAGAAUUGAUACAAAUUUAAAAUAUCAAAUGGAAGAAGACAUUAUUUAUUGGAGAAAUGUGUUGAAGAGGAUUGUAGCAGUGGUAAAGAAACUUUCAAGCAGAGGACUUGCAUUUAGAGGUAAGGUGGAAAAAUUUGGAUCACCUUAUAACAACAAUUACAUGAUGGCCCUUGAGCUUGUCGCAGAAUUCGAUCCAUUUCUAGCAAAUCACAUUGCACGUUACGGAAAUGAAGGUCAAGGUAACGUAUCUUAUCUUUCAUCCUAUAUAUGUAAUGAAUUUAUAAAAUUGAUGGCUUCAAAUGUGAUCUCAAAUAUUAUUAAAGAAGUAAAAGAAGCCAAAUAUUUCUCAAUAAGCGUUGACUCAACUCCCAACAUGUCUCAUGUUGUUCAAUUGGCUUUUAUACUGAGAUACGUAAACGAUGAUGGCAUACCAGAAGAAGGUUUCUUUGUUUUUUACCAAAUACUGGCCACAAAUCAGAACAGUUAGCUGAUGCUGUACUUUCAACUUUGAAUUGUUAUGGAUUAGAUAUCGCAAACUGCCGUGGCCAGUCGUACGACAAUGCCACUAACAUGUCUAGUGUACAUAACGGGUUGCAAGCAAGAAUAAAGAAUAUAAAUCCUUACGCUGUGUAUGUGCCUUGCUCUGCACAUUCUUUAAAUCUGGUUGGAGUAUGUGCAGCAGAAAGUUGUCAAGAAGCACGUUCAUUUUUCUCAACUGUCCAACAUCUUUAUUCAUUUUUUUCUGCCUCUACUCACCAGUGGGAGCUUUUACUAUCUAAUUUGAAGCCAGGCAGUAAAGUAAUAAGACUUUCUGAGACUCGAUGGUCAUCUUGAGUGGAAGCUUGUCAUAAUUUGAGUGAAAACUGGAAUGCUAUAAUUAAAGUCUUAAAUACAAUAAAGGAAGACGCUACUGAGAAACCUGUUACACGUAAUGAAGCUGCAGGCCUGCAGCAAAAACUCCAUCAACUUGAGGCAGCUUUUAUGGCUGUAUUUUGGAGCUCACUCUUGGAAAGAUUUCAUAUAACUAGCCAAAAACUGCAAAAUGUUUAUAUUGAUAUACAGAUAGUUGUAGAACUCUACAACUCACUAACAAGAUACAUUAACUCUAUAUGGGACUUGUUUGAUAUGUACGAAGAGACAGCCAAAGAAAAAUCUGAAAUUGAAGACUACGAAUUUGACGCAAGACAAAAAAGAAAGCAUAAACUUCAAUCUGAUGAGACACACGAAGUUGAAGUGGAAAUGUGUGGUAGAGAUAAAUUUAAAGUAGAUACCUUUGUAACAAUACUAGAUCUUGUAUGCUCCAAAUUAAAACACAGAAGUAUGCGUAUCAAGAAAUUUAUGGCAGAUUUCAGUCUCUCUCUAAUAUUACCAAUACUUCAACAACAGAUAUAACAGUUCACGCUAAAAAAUUACAGCUAUACUACCAAGGAGAUUUAGAAGAAUCAUUCGUGAAUGAGUGUUUACAUUUUCGAUCGUAUUUGGAAGGUGUCGAAAUUCCUGAAAAUGAAAAGAAGUCAAUUUUAAGAUAUUGCAGCCUUCUUCGAAAUCGAAACAUUCAUUCAGUAUAUCCAAAUAUUGAUAUUGCCUUCCGAAUGUUCGUUUGCACACCUGCUACAAACUGUUCAGCGGAACGAUAAUUUUCGGCAUUAAAAAGGGUGAAAACUAUUUGAGGGCUAAUCUCAGUGAAGAAAAAGUAAACUCCCUUUCUCUCCUGACAAUUGAAAAGGAUCUAACAACUUCUCUGGAUUAUACAAAAUUAAUUAAUAAGUUUACCGCUCAAAGGUGUAGGCGUAAACAAAUGUAAUUACUUACAACUCACAUACUUUUAUUUCUUUUAUUGUAUCUACAUAAAAUAAAAAAUAAAUAUUUGAUAUACACUGGACCCCCGCUUGAACGCGGGGUUUUGGAUCCAUGCACAGUCCCGCUCUAUAAGCGAAAUCGCGCUAUACAGACAUGCGUUCAAGCGAGGG